ACUAAAGGCCUCUGCCACAAACAUGCUUUGCCAGAUCCUCAGUCAGGCCAAGAAGCAUCCGAGCUUGAUUCCCCUCUUCGUAUUUAUGGGAGCUGGAGGUACUGGAGCAGCCCUGUCUGUCUUGCAUCUGGCAUCGUUCAAUCCAGAUGUUAGUUGGGACAGAAAGAAUAACCCAGAACCACAGAACAAAAUGGUUCCCACUGAUCAAUACAAGUUCUACUCAGUGAAUGUGGAUUACAGCAAACUGAAGAAAGAAAGUCCAGACUUCUAAACCAAAUGUUUCACAAUAAAGCUGCUUAGAAUGAAGGUCUUCCAGAAGCCAUCGCACAAUUUGCCACUUAACCAG